rnacentral:sRNA from 1 species
GCUGGGCAUGGUGGCACAUGCCUGUAAUCCCUGCGGCUUGGGAGGCUGAGGCAGGAGGAUCUCAAGUUCAAAGCCAGCCUCAGCAAAAGUGAAGCGCUAAACAGCUCAGUGAGACCCUGUCUCUA